UGUUAAAUGAAGGUGGUGAGAUGUACUGGAUUAAUCCCUGUGCAAAGAUAUCUUCAGAUUACUGGAAUGAGCACAUCAGCCUCUUGUGAGGUCUGUCUAAAGAAGACUAACAAAAAUUCAGUGCAGCGUCCUGAGAAGAUGGAUCGCAGCUCUGCAGUCACUGUCCAGGUGGGUCAGUGGGAGCAGAAGCCCUCUGCUGAUGUACAGGCUCUGGUCAGCAACAUCCAGCAAGACCCACACAGCCUCUGCCUGCUGGAGCUUUUUGUUUGCCUGUGACUGGAAAGUCAGAUUUCUGUUCCGGGGGUUGCAGCUCCCUGUGCUGGAGAAACAGCCUGGCACCUGCAGAGGUGCACGGUGAUAUGAUUGUGAGGAAGCAAAGCCCAGGAAGAAGGAAUCCCUGCAGUCCUGUUCUUUUAGCUCCAAGCCUGCUCAGAGGAAGCAGCAGACAGUUUGAGGGGUUUGGGCUCACAGAUGGUGACAGCAUGGAGAGACUGUGGUCCUUCCCUGAAGAACUGCAGGAGUCACAGAGGAGAUGAGUCCAUCUCACUGUCUGGACUUGCUGACUGAUGUUCUUCUGCACUGCAGGUGUAGCACAGCACUUACAGGCUGCUAACAUCUGAAUCUUUGAAUAACGCAGUAACCAAGCAAUACCUGUUACUGUUGUCUAAUAAGUGUGUAAAUCUUUAAUAUUAUUACCUGCUGCCCAUCUUAGAAGGAAUGUUCUUAUAGACAUGGAGUAAAAAAAUUGAAGAAUCUGAACUUCCUGUUUCCUGCUACAGAUGCUGACUGUGACCUCA